rnacentral:misc_RNA from 1 species
CUAAUAGCGUAUAUUAAAGUUGUUGCAGUUAAAAAGCUCGUAGUUGAAUUUCGGGAUUGGCGCAUCGGUCGUGCCUCACGGGGUAUGAACUGGUGCAGUCAAUUUCUCACCUUCUGGAGAACCGCGAUGUCCUUAAUUGGAUGCCGCGGGGAACCAGGACCUUUACUUUGAAAAAAUUAGAGUGUUUAAAGCAGGCAUUUUUGCUUGAAUACAUUAGCAUGGAAUAAUAAAAUAGGACGGCAUGGUUCUAUUUUGUUGGUUUCUAGGACCACCGUAAUGAUUAAUAGGGAUAGUUGGGGGCAUUAGUAUUCAAUUGUCAGAGGUGAAAUUCUUGGAUUUAUUGAAGACUAACUACUGCGAAAGCAUUUGCCAAGGAUGUUUUCAUUAAUCAAGAACGAAAGUUAGGGGAUCGAAGACGAUCAGAUACCGUCGUAGUCUUAACCAUAAACUAUGCCGACUAGGAAUCAGACGAUGUUAAUUUUUUAAUGACUCGUUUGGCACCUUACG